rnacentral:piRNA from 1 species
UAAGAUUGCAAGGGGAUACCCCGGG